CACGUAGGGCGCGAGCGUUGUCCGGAAUUAUUGGGCGUAAAGAGCUCGUAGGCGGUCUGUCGCGUCGGCUGUGAAAUCCCGAGGCUCAACCUCGGGUCUGCAGUCGAUACGGGCAAACUAGAGUAUUGCAGGGGAGACUGGAAUUCCUGGUGUAGCGGUGAAAUGCGCAGAUAUCAGGAGGAACACCGGUGGCGAAGGCGGUUCUCUGGGCAUGUCCUGACGCUGAGGAGCGAAAGUGUGGGGAGCGAACAGG
rnacentral:rRNA from 1 species